CCUGGGCAGCUGUGGCCCGCAGUUCCGCGAUGCACACGGCAGUCACCUUCCUUCUCCAAGAGGAGCCGUGAGAAGAGAUGGGGAUGAGAUGGCCUCUGGGGACUUACGUGGGCCGCGCACCUCGCAGGCCCCUUCCUGGGCCAGUGAAGGAAGCCCGGCCCGGUGACUGGGAGCCUCACUGUCCCCCUCACGGUGCCACUGGGCUGAUUCAGGGUUCAGAGCCCAGGCGCAGGGACCCUCGCUCCGCUCAGCCUCACAGGUCCGGUGUGAGAAAAGGGCUCUUUGAAAGCGAGAACGCCGUUAGGACGGUGCAAGGAGCUCUGAUGACAAUUCAGGAAAGGGCUGCGGGCGGAGCUCUGUGACAUUUCUCACGCGGAUUUACUGGAACGAGGCCUGGGAAGUCAGCUGCUCCGGCCCUGCUGCACCGUCAUCUCCAUCCCGCCGGGCUGCCCGGAGUCUUGAGGACGCCACUGGCCGAGCUUUGCCCCUCAGACGCCCCGCCAAGCCCCCAGCCCCAGCGACUCAGGCCACUGGAUUCUCCCCUGGACCAGGCAACAUUCUCAUCGCCCAGAAGGAGACCCCAUGCCUGUUAAGCAGCUGCUCCCCACUCCCUGCCGGGCGCCCCACACUUUGGACCUGCGUCACCCACGGCGAUGUUAUGACCUGCCCCCCGUCCUCCCCACCGCACGCCGCAGACGAGCGCUCUGUGCAGCGGGGACCAGAGCGGACGGCUCACCUGCAGCCACAAAGAGGAUGCCGGCGCUGAGGACGAUGUUGUUCUUGCGGCUGUGGAGUCUCCCGGCGCCAAGGCAGAGCCCGCCGAGCAGCAGGAGGGCGGCGCUGAGGAUGGGGAAGGCGCUGGAGGCGCGCACGAGGCCUGGCCGGCGGGAGACACAGAGAGGGCCGUGGGGCUGGCCAUCCUCCCGGCCCGGCCACGGGCGUCGGCCCCAAGGCUCUCAAGGCCCUUCCGCUGACUUUGAAGAUUCCCAUCCCACCCUGGAGACCCCAGCGGGGAUCCCCUCAGCGCCACCAGGGAGGCCACAGCAACAGGCACGAGAACACUGUCAGACGGCCCGUCACAGCUCGUGGACAUCGUCUCCGUGAAGCCUCCGGGAUGCUGGAGACUGGAUCCGGAUGGGCGGCCGAGGGCACGGCUUUGCCUUCGGCGGGCCCGGGUACCCCGCUUUGUGACACGCUGGCUGUGUGGCCUUGGCCAAGGUGGGGCCUCCCUGACACUGGGUUUCCCUAGUAGUGGGAUGCAGUUCGUAACAGGCUACGUCCAGGUGGGUUCUGCACAUCUAAUAGGCUUAUUUAGCAAAGGCCCUGCCCAUAGCACACACUCCUCAAGUGACAGCCUUGAUCUCCCAUCUCCGUCAACACCAGCGCCAUCACCCCGGGACGCUCCGGACCUCGUGAGGUCACCGAGGAGGGGGUGGCUGGACAGGGGAGCAUGUCCAUGGCCUGCGGGGCCCCACGGAGCUAGAUCUGCAGCUGUGCACUGCCCAGCGGGGCGACCAGGGCAGCUAGCUUCAGACCACUUCACUCCCCUCUUUUACAACCUGGGGAGAGUAGUAAUACCUACCUGUAGGGGUUGAAUUGUGGCCUCCCAAAAUCUAUGUCCACAUUCUAACUGCUGGUACCUAUGAGUGUGACCAGGUUUGGAGAAAAGUCUUUGCAGCUGUGAGUAAGUUAAGGCUCUUGAGAUGACACCGUCCUAGAUCACGCUGGGCCCCAAGUCUAGUGACAGGCGCCCUAACAUGAACAGGAAGCGACACAGCAGAAGAGCCCAUGGGGAGAAGCCAUGUGAGGACGGAGGCAGACGAAAGGAUGACACAGCUCAAGACAAGGAUGCCGGGGCUGCCAGAGCUGGAAAAGGCGGGAAGGAUUCUCUGCUAGAGGCUUUGGAGGGGCACAGCCCUGGCAACGCCUGAGUGAAGACGUCCGGCCUCCACUCCGUGUGAGGGUGCCUUUCUGCUGUUCUAAGCCCCCCAGUUUGUGGUAAUUUAUUACAGUGGCCUUAGGAAAGGGACACACUACCUGCAAGUGCUGUGAUGAGACUCUGACGGAAUAAGGUACAUCGGGCGCGUAGUAGGGCCCUGGGGGAGGCGGGUCCCCCUCCCUGAGCAUGUGGCUGGGAGAGGAGGCGGGAGGAAGGGAAGGGGGACGUGAGCAGAACCCCGAGCUCGGCCUCCCAGCCCAGGAGAAAUCCCGGCUCCGUGGACCUGGGGGCCGCCAGGGGACAGCGAGCUGGGGGCACCGGCAGGCCCCCCUCCUGAGCCAGCUGAGCUCGUUUGCGGCCUUUCAGCCUCUGAAGGCAGCGUUUGUCUCCCUGCUUGUAAGCCCGCCAGUGUGCGCCCUGCUGCACAGAGAGCGGCUUGUCUGGGGCAGUAAAUGAAGCUCUUCUCUCCGCCCCCCUCCUCUGCCUUCUCACAGCCGCAGGUUUCGGGAGGAGGUUUCCUGUGGGCUUUUGAAAUGCGCCUCUGAUCCGUGCGGGCCGGCAAAGGGGGACCGGGUCCCCCUCGAUACCCUCGUUCUGCAGGGGGGCCAGAGGGGUUGCAGCGAGGGAAGCCUGGAGCCUCUAACGUCCCCGAGUUCGGGCCUGGCCCAGAGCCGUCCACCCGGCCCGCGUAAGUCACGUGAGCACCGUCCUUUGCCACGUGGGCUCACCCGGAGCUCUAGACGUGCGGGCACCAACCGCGGUGCAGGCUGGGUCUUGCACAGAGCGGGGCCGAUGUCCAGCCCCCGGCCCUGUGGCUACCUCGAGCCCUGGCAAGGAUCUGUGUUUUUCCCGAAGGGCGGGCAUCUCCUCCUCACUCGCCCUCAGGCUCGCCGUGGGCUCUCAGCAGCCCUGACACCGGCACUCUGGGGUUAGCACAGAAACCACGCGCCCAACCCGAAAUGCGGAGCCUGGAGAAGGGGCACCAGGCCCAGGGCAAGAGGGACGGGAAGCCCUGAGGCCAGCGGGCUCAACAGAGAGAAACGGCAGGGAAUCAGGGAAACUCAGGCCGGAUGGCCGUGGCGACCGCGGCCUUGUUCUGUCCUGGAAUGUUGCCCACUCCCUCUGGCUCCCAGCUCACAGGCACCUGCACUCUGGGGCUCGAGUUCAGGGCCAAUUCUCGCUGUUUCUGCAGCCCCUGAAUGGAAAACCACUUCCCUGAUGGGGAGUCAGCUCUGCCCUCCCCCCCAGCAGCCGAGAUCACAGGCCCCAAAGCCAUCGCCCCUUCUCUUCCUUGGGCUCCUGAAUGAACCCCCUGGCUCCCCACGGUGCACCAAUGAGGAAACGUUUCCUUCCCAAAUGAGCUUUGAUGGCUGAUGUACAGUUGCCAUCAUGUUAUUUGGGAAAAUCGCUGCUGGGCCUCCCAGCCCUCACGCCCUGCCCCGGGGCACCGCUGGUGGGGUUUGAGGACAGCAGGAGCCUGAAGCUGGAUUGGUGAGUGUGCCCCUCCCGGCCCUCGGACCACCUCUCUCGGUCCUGCUCUGGGCCCUGGGAGGCUGACGCCAGGGACCGGGUCAUCGGGGUCCCUCGACUCCGGCUUUGGGAGGAGAGUGCAGGGGAGACGGUUAUUCCCCUGGCUUCCUUCCUGCAAAUGAGGACGAGGAUAAGGUGGCUGCGCUCUGUCAUAAAGGCCACAGCCCCUGCCAGGAGGCCUGUCCUUGCAGCUCCCCUGGUGCAAGCGUCCAUACCUGCCUCUCCCACCUGUUCAGGCUGAGGGCUGUAAGGGGUCCUUCUGUUGCUAGCCGCGGUGUGUUCACUGCCCGUUGUAAGCUUCCCUUAGCCCCGCCCACAGCUCUGUAAUUAGUCCUUCACUAAAUGCCCUUCCUUCAUCCCAUCGGAGCGAGCGUCCCCUCUGCUUCCUGCUGGGACCCCAGGAAGCCGCAUCGUCUGACCUCUGGGCUGAUGUGCCACGAGGCCCAUCCAGAAGGAGAUCCCAGCACCCUGGGGACCAUGAGGGGAAGGGCAGGGGAGUAAAGAGGCAGAGCCCGCACCGAUUAACC